AUCCAGCUGACAAAUCCCAAAUAGGACGAAACGCGCGUUAUCCUGGAU
rnacentral:hammerhead_ribozyme from 1 species